CACAUACUCCCUCCGUCCGAAAAUACUUGUCAUCAAAAUGAACAAAAGGGGAUGUAUCUAGAUGUAUUUUAGUUCUAGAUAUAUCCUUUUUUGUCCAUUUUGAUGACAAGUAUUUUCGGACGGAGGGAGUAUAUG
rnacentral:pre_miRNA from 1 species